AACGAACGCUGGCGGCAUGCCUAACACAUGCAAGUCGAACGAGACCUUCGGGUCUAGUGGCGCACGGGUGCGUAACGCGUGGGAACCUGCCCUUAGGUUCGGAAUAACUCCCCGAAAGGGGUGCUAAUACCGGAUAAUGUCUUCGGACCAAAGAUUUAUCGCCUUUGGAUGGGCCCGCGUUGGAUUAGCUAGUUGGUAGGGUAAAAGCCUACCAAGGCGACGAUCCAUAGCUGGUCUGAGAGGAUGAUCAGCCACACUGGGACGGAGACACGGCCCAGACUCCUACGGGAGGCAGCAGUGGGGAAUAUUGGACAAUGGGCGAAAGCCUGAUCCAGCAAUGCCGAGUGAGUGAUGAAGGCCUUAGGGUUGUAAAGCUCUUUUCCCCGGGAUGAUAAUGACAGUACCGGGAGAAUAAGCUCCGGCUAACUCCGU
rnacentral:rRNA from 1 species